rnacentral:rRNA from 1 species
UACGUAGGAUGCAAGCGUUGUCCGGAAUUAUUGGGCGUAAAGAGUUCGUAGGCGGUUGCCUAAGUCUGGUGUUAAAUACAGGAGCUCAACUCCUGCAUGGCACUGGAAACUGGGUGGCUAGAGUGUGGUAGAGGUCACGGGAAUUCCAGGUGUAGCGGUGAAAUGCGCAGAUAUCAGGAGGAACACCGGUGGCGAAGGCGGGUCUCUGGGCCGAUACUGACGCUGAGGAGCGAAAGCGUGGGGAGCAAACAGG